rnacentral:rRNA from 1 species
UAGAGUUUAUCCUGCUCAGAUUAACGCUGGGGCAGGCUUUACACAUGCAAGUCGACGGUGCAGGUUCUUCGGUAACUACCUAGCGGCGUACGGGUAGUAUACUUAGGAAUCUGCCUAUUAAUGGGGGACAACAUCUCGAAAGGGAUGCUUAAUACCGCAUACGCCCUACGGGGGAAAGCAGGGGAUCACUUGUGACCUUGCGUUAAUAGAUGAGCCUAAGUCGGAUUAGCUAGUUGGUGGGGUAAAGGCCUACCAAGGCGUACGUAUCUGUAGCGGCGUCUGAGAGGAUGAUCCCCCACACUGGGACUGAGACACGGCCCAGACUCCUACGGUAGGCAGCAGUGGGGAAUAUUGGACAAUGGGGGGAACCCUGAUCCUAGCCAUGCCGCGUGUGUGCAAGAAGGCCUUAUGGUUGUAAAGCACUUUAAAGCGAGGAGGAGGCUCUUUUGGUUAAUACCCAAGAUGAGUGGACG